CGCUGGCGGCGUGCCUAAUACAUGCAAGUCGAGCGGACUUAAAAAGCUUGCUUUUUAAGUUAGCGGCGGACGGGUGAGUAACACGUGGGCAACCUGCCUGUAAGACUGGGAUAACUUCGGGAAACCGGAGCUAAUACCGGAUAAUCCUUUUCUACUCAUGUAGAAAAGCUGAAAGACGGUUUACGCUGUCACUUACAGAUGGGCCCGCGGCGCAUUAGCUAGUUGGUGAGGUAACGGCUCACCAAGGCGACGAUGCGUAGCCGACCUGAGAGGGUGAUCGGCCACACUGGGACUGAGACACGGCCCAGACUCCUACGGGAGGCAGCAGUAGGGAAUCUUCCGCAAUGGACGAAAGUCUGACGGAGCAACGCCGCGUGAGUGAUGAAGGUUUUCGGAUCGUAAAACUCUGUUGUUAGGGAAGAACAAGUACGAGAGUAACUGCUCGUACCUUGACGGUACCUAACCAGAAAGCCACGGCUAACUACGUGCCAGCAGCCGCGGUAAUACGUAGGUGGCAAGCGUUGUCCGGAAUUAUUGGGCGUAAAGCGCGCGCAGGCGGUCCUUUAAGUCUGAUGUGAAAGCCCACGGCUCAACCGUGGAAGGUCAUUGGAAACUGGGGGACUUGAGUGCAGAAGAAGAAGAGUGAAUUCCACGUGUAGCGGUGAAAUGCGUAGAGAU
rnacentral:rRNA from 1 species